rnacentral:rRNA from 1 species
GGGGGCAACCUGAUCCAGCCAUGCCGCGUGUGUGAAGAAGGCCUUCGGGUUGUAAAGCACUUUCAGUAGGGAGGAAGGCUUACCGUUAAUAGCGGUGAGUACUUGACGUUACCUACAGAAGAAGCACCGGCUAAUUUCGUGCCAGCAGCCGCGGUAAUACA